rnacentral:rRNA from 1 species
UACAGAGGUCCCGAGCGUUGUUCGGAUUCAUUGGGCGUAAAGGGUGCGUAGGCGGCUUCCUAAGUUUGAUGUGAAAUCCUGGGGCUCAACCCUGGAACUGCAUUGAAUACUGGGAGGCUAGAGUACUGGAGAGGAAACUGGAAUUUACGGUGUAGCAGUGAAAUGCGUAGAGAUCGUAAGGAAGACCAGUGGCGAAGGCGAGUUUCUGGACAGUUACUGACGCUGAGGCACGGAGGCCAGGGGGAGCAAACGGG